ensembl:Y_RNA Y_RNA Y RNA
GCUCGUCCUAACGUAGUGAGUUAUCUCAGUUUAUUAUUCACAGUCAGUUACAGAUGGAACUCCUUGUUCUACUCUUUUCCCCCUUCUCACUACCGCACUUGACUAGGCUUAA